rnacentral:rRNA from 1 species
GAUGAACGCUGGCGGCGUGCCUAAUACAUGCAAGUCGAGCGAACACACAAUGAGCUUGCUCCCCUGACGUUAGCGGCGGACGGGUGAGUGACACGUGGAUAACCUACCUAUAAUACGGGGAUAACUUCGGGAAACCGGAUAUACUACUGGCUCAUAUAUUGUACCGCAUGGUUCAAUAGUUAAAGACGGUUUUGCUGUCACUUAUAGAUGGAUCCGCGCCGGAUUAGCUAGUUGGUAAGGUAACGGCUUACCAAGGCAACGAUGCGUAGCCGACCUGAGAGGGUGAUCGGCCACACUGGAACUGAGACACGGUCCAGACUCCUACGGGAGGCAGCAGUAGGGAAUAUUCGGCAAUGGGCGAAAGCCUGACGGAGCAAUGCCGCGUGAGUGAUGAAGGUCUUCGGAUCGUAAAGCUCUUUUGUUAGGGAAGAAAAACUGUAGAAGAAUCCAUGGAUGUCUUGACGGUACCUAAACAGAAAGCCCCGGCUAACUUCGUG